GACGAACGCUGGCGGCGUGCCUAAUACAUGCAAGUUGAGUGCUGAAGGUUGGUACUUGUACCAACUGGAUGAGCAGCGAACGGGUGAGUAACGCGUGGGGAAUCUGCCUUUGAGCGGGGGACAACAUUUGGAAACGAAUGCUAAUACCGCAUAAAAACUUUAAACACAAGUUUUAAGUUUGAAAGAUGCAAUUGCAUCACUCAAAGAUGAUCCCGCGUUGUAUUAGCUAGUUGGUGAGGUAAAGGCUCACCAAGGCGAUGAUACAUAGCCGACCUGAGAGGGUGAUCGGCCACAUUGGGACUGAGACACGGCCCAAACUCCUACGGGAGGCAGCAGUAGGGAAUCUUCGGCAAUGGACGAAAGUCUGACCGAGCAACGCCGCGUGAGUGAAGAAGGUUUUCGGAUCGUAAAACUCUGUUGGUAGAGAAGAACGUUGGUGAGAGUGGAAAGCUCAUCAAGUGACGGUAACUACCCAGAGAGGGACGGCUAACUACGUG
rnacentral:rRNA from 1 species